UUGCACGCUGGCGGCAUGCUUUACCCCUGCAAGUCGCACGGUAACAGGCCUUCGGGUGCUGACGAGUGGCGAACGGGUGAGUAAUGCAUCGGAACGUACCCAGAGGUGGGGGAUAACGCAGCGAAAGCUGUGCUAAUACUGCAUGUGAUCUGAGGAUGAAAGCGGGGGACCGAGCAGCAAUGUUUGGCCUCGCGCCUUUGGAGCGGCCGAUGUCGGAUUAGCUAGUUGGUGGGGUAAAGGCCUACCAAGGCGACGAUCCGUAGCUGGUCUGAGAGGACGACCAGCCACACUGGGACUGAGACACGGCCCAGACUCCUACGGGAGGCAGCAGUGGGGAAUUUUGGACAAUGGGCGCAAGCCUGAUCCAGCAAUGCCGCGUGCGGGAAGAAGGCCUUCGGGUUGUAAACCGCUUUUGGCAGGAACGAAACGGUGUCCGCUAAUACCGGGCGCUAAUGACGGUACCUGCAGAAUAAGCACCGGCUAACUACGUG
rnacentral:rRNA from 1 species